rnacentral:rRNA from 1 species
UACAGAGGUCUCAAGCGUUGUUCGGAAUCACUGGGCGUAAAGGGUGCGUAGGCUGCGGAGUAAGUCGGAUGUGAAAUUUGGGGGCUCAACCCCCAACUUGCAUCUGAUACUGCUUCGCUAGAGACCUGGAGAGGAGUUUGGAAUUCUCGGUGUAGCAGUGAAAUGCGUAGAUUUCGAGAAGAACACCGAAGGCGAAAGCACUCUGCUGGGCCGAAACUGACACUGAUAGACGAAAGCUAGGGGAGCAAAUGGG